UAUUUCUUAGGCUGAUAUUGUUGAUAAGGUGUAUCAUCGGGGUUGCUUUUUGUUUCUAGGAUCAACUUGCAAAAGAACAGAGCAAAGCAGAGGCAUUAUCAGCUGAGGUAUUACAGCUCAGAGCAAGACUCCAACAAACUACUCAAGCAUACAAUGGUCUUGCACGCCUCUAUAAACCGGUGUUGCGAAACAUAGAAAGCAGUCUCAUUAAGAUGAAACAAGAUGGCCCUGUGACAGUGCGGUAAAUACAAAACUCUUGCACUACCCGUUUACAUAAAGUUGGUGGAAUUAGCAUGUUUUUAUUCUUUAAUUUUCGUAAUUGUGCUCAGCAUCCUUCACGUACCAAAAUGUUCACUAGCCAAAACAAGGUACCAAAUCUUCACUGAAUAGCUUUAUGUAGACUGAUUCUUACGGAAAUAUAGUGAGAAAUGAAAGAUCUCUUUCACAUUUUUUGUUGGAGGAGAAAUGAAAAGUCUCGUAUACAUUAUUGUAAAUGAAAAAUCUCUUAUACAUAGUUCUAAGAGAUUAAUUGGUACCUUGUAUCUGCAUUCCGUGACUAAGAUAACAAUUAGAACUGAUGGGAUUAUUUCAAUUGAGGGACUGAAAUCUUAUUUAUAGGCUUGCUCUUGGUAUCUUAUACUGAGUGGUUCUUCAGCCAAUCA